CCUACGUGAGGCUGCAGUGGGGAAUAUUGGACAAUGGGCGAAAGCCUGAUCCAGCCAUGCCGCGUGUGUGAAGAAGGCCUUCGGGUUGUAAAGCACUUUCAGUGGGGAAGAAAGCCUUGGGGCUAAUACCCUCGAGGAAGGACAUCACCCACAGAAGAAGCACCGGCUAACUCCGUGCCAGCAGCCGCGGUAAUACGGAGGGUGCGAGCGUUAAUCGGAAUUACUGGGCGUAAAGCGCGCGUAGGCGGUCUGAUAAGCCGGUUGUGAAAGCCCCGGGCUCAACCUGGGAACGGCAUCCGGAACUGUCAGGCUAGAGUGCAGGAGAGGAAGGUAGAAUUCCCGGUGUAGCGGUGAAAUGCGUAGAGAUCGGGAGGAAUACCAGUGGCGAAGGCGGCCUUCUGGACUGACACUGACGCUGAGGUGCGAAAGCGUGGGUAGCAAACAGGAUUAGAUACCCGUGUAGUC
rnacentral:rRNA from 1 species